rnacentral:rRNA from 1 species
UACGGGGGGGGCAAGCGUUGUUCGGAAUUACUGGGCGUAAAGGGUUUGUAGGUGGCCAGCUAAGUCAGACGUGAAAUCCCUCAGCUUAACUGGGGAACUGCGUGUGAGACUGGCAGGCUCGAGGGCAGGAGAGGAACGCGGAAUUCCAGGUGUAGCGGUGAAAUGCGUAGAUAUCUGGAGGAACACCAAUGGCGAAGGCAGCUCGCUGGGACGUGACUGACGCUAAGGAGCGAAAGCUUGGGGAGCGAACCGG